UACGUAGGGCGCAAGCGUUAUCCGGAAUUAUUGGGCGUAAAGAGCUCGUAGGCGGUUUGUCGCGUCUGCCGUGAAAGUCCGGGGCUCAACUCCGGAUCUGCGGUGGGUACGGGCAGACUAGAGGUAUGCAGGGGAGAACGGAAUUCCUGGUGUAGCGGUGAAAUGCGCAGAUAUCAGGAGGAACACCGGUGGCGAAGGCGGUCUCUGGGCAUUACCUGACGCUGAGGUGCGAAAGCGUGGGGAGCAAACAGG
rnacentral:rRNA from 1 species